rnacentral:rRNA from 1 species
CCCUAUGGGGUGCAGCAGGGCGGGGGCGUUCAUGAUGCAGCAGCCGGACAAAACCCGAUUAUGCGCGGGGGCGCGUCAUGCGGCUCCUGCCACGGGCAGGAGGGGGCCGGUAGAAUCAGCCGCAAGCCACAUCGGAGAAACAAACAGGGUGCGCUGCGCCGGACGACCGUCUGGAUGGCCGCCCGCAGCAGCAUUUAUGACUGAAUUGCGUCUGAUUUAUGCCCGCGCGCGCAACGGCGUUAUUGGCCGCGAUGGGCGCAUGCCGUGGCACCUUCCGGAAGACCUGGCGCAUUUCAAGCGCGCCACGCUGGGCAGUCCGGUCAUCAUGGGCCGCAAGACGUGGGAGAGC